CGUAGUUUAUAGAAAUUAAAUUUUUAUGCGCCUCUUUUAAAAUUGCGCGGGUAGUUCGAAGUUCUAACCAAAAUGACAGAGGGCGCCUAAAUGGACCGAAUUGUCACGAAGUACAACGAGUCGGCGCGAUCUUGUUACUCGUCGCCAUUGUUGUUUGCAUAUCUGAGUGCACGUUUCAACAAGAAAAGCCGGUAUCUAUCAAGUGUCUGUAAGAGUGAAUUAUGAAAGAAUAAAAUAUGUCGUUGUAUAAUAAACUUUUCGAUGCGUACAAAAAAUGUUAUUCUGAAAAUUAUUCUGAGUUGAAAAUCCAGAACGAUGUCAAUGAGCUGUGGAAAUCUUUUAAGCGGAAUAAACAAUCAUUGUCUGCAAAUAUCGAGAAAAAAGUGAUAGAGCUAUUACAAUUAAAAACAAAAAAAAGAUGCCGUUCGACUGAGUUUCUUUACUCAACAAAUGAUUCAUUAAUCAAAUUGGGAUAUAAUGGAACGAGUCAAAUUUGAGGAACUACGUCAAAAAUUUUUGGUCAUGAAAAAAAAGACGCAAACAGCUGGCUAGGCUCGAAUGAAGGUCACAACAUAAUAUAUAUAUGAAAUGAUCAAGUAUAUUAUAUAUGGAGCUUGGAGUCUAAUUAGUUCAUCGUGUACGGAUUGUCUGACAGAUAAGGGACUUGUAUCAUAUAUACAUAUAGUUUUGCGUCACUAUAUAUGUAUACUUAUGAUACAUACAUCACACGACCCUCGGAACUUGGAUUGACCUUUCUUAAACACGUGCAACUCUGGGAAAUUGUGUAGUCUUCUUCAGAAUCAACUGAAUGGCUUUACAGUAUCAUUCAACAGUUAAAGCUAAGAGAAGCAAGCAAAUCAAAUCAAGAGCAAUGGAUGAUAUCAAGGAAUUGGCAAUCACAAAUGGACAUUUCAUAUAUUUGAAGAAAGUGCCUAAAGCCCCUUAUCAUUCUCCUGUCCGGUGUUGAAGUAUUAGACGACUGGACGGAGAACUGAUAAGGGCCCGAGGGUCACAGAAUCAUCGCUGGAUUGUGUACAAAACCCAACAAUUGAAUUAUUAUAUUCUUCAAUGACUCAAACUGCUCACAACAUUACGAGAAUCUCUAUAUUUAUCAUCUUCUAUACAAAUAUAUAUAUGUUAAUAAGAAAGACAAAAAAAUCUACAAGAUAAAAAUUUAAAAAAGAAAUGAUACAAAAUUUUAAUUUUAUUUUUUGUAUAUAAUUUCCCAAUUUUUUCCUUAGAUCCUUUUAUACAAUUUUGUCAAAUAAAUAAAAAAUCAAAAUAGUAUUUAAAAUAGGCGUGGUAAGUUUAUUUUUAUUAAUUUAUUGGUUUUAAUUAUGUCAUUUCAACUAGAA